rnacentral:rRNA from 1 species
UACGAAGGGGGCUAGCGUUGCUCGGAAUCACUGGGCGUAAAGGGUGCGUAGGCGGGUCUUUAAGUCAGGGGUGAAAUCCUGGAGCUCAACUCCAGAACUGCCUUUGAUACUGAGGAUCUUGAGUUCGGGAGAGGUGAGUGGAACUGCGAGUGUAGAGGUGAAAUUCGUAGAUAUUCGCAAGAACACCAGUGGCGAAGGCGGCUCACUGGCCCGUAACUGACGCUCAUGCACGACAGCGUGGGGAUCAAACAGG